CGAACUCGUACUCGUAGCAGCAGCAAUGCCAAGAAGAGCAGGCAGCGUAGCAAAAGCAGUCACAACAACGCAGACGCAAUAACAUUUUCAGCAGCCGUUCAUCUCAGAGGGGAUGCAGCGCCAAACUGCGAGGGUGAGGUGGUAACUCUCACAACCAAUGCCUCCGCAGGUUCAUCGUUAGCUACCCCACAGCUGAGUGCCAUACUGGUCAUGACGUAACUACAGAAACAGGAAAACUUGCCGGGGAGCUGAGCGAAAGGCAAGAACUUUAUACCUGUGCAUGGCCAUGAUCCCAUGUACAAACAGCCCCAGAGAGUACCCAUGCGUGCUGGCAGCUUACUCAUCUGGGACCAGCGUGUGGCGCACGGCAGUCGGCCCAACAACAGCACGCGAGCAAGGUAUGUUCAAUUUGUAAAGAUGUUCCCAUCCAUCAACCUCCGCUCAGAACGAGCUAAGAAUCGUGGUCAGCUUAUCAAGGACAAGGUAUGUUGCGGGUGCUCCGCCGGCUGAUGUGACCAGUAAUGGAUGUGUCUGUCCUGCUGCUAAGUAUACGAGAUCUCGUAGUCCUUAGGCUGUUUUGUUGUCCUGCUGCUGCCUAGCGGAUCAUGUGAUUGUUUGCUUCCCUGUGUGUGCUCUGGGU